UACGUAGGGGGGCAAGCGUUGUCCGGAAUUAUUGGGCGUAAAGGGCUCGUAGGCGGUUUAUCGCGUCGGGAGUGAAAACAUCUGGCUUAACUGGGUGCUUGCUUUCGAUACGGGCAGACUGGAGGUAUGCAGGGGAGAACGGAAUUCCUGGUGUAGCGGUGAAAUGCGCAGAUAUCAGGAGGAACACCGGUGGCGAAGGCGGGUCUCUGGGCCGAAACUGACGCUGAGGAGCGAAAGCGUGGGGAGCGAACAGG
rnacentral:rRNA from 1 species